rnacentral:lncRNA from 1 species
UUAGCGCACAUAAUUAAGGAUAAUAUUAUAGUUUUUGUUAAGGAACACGAUUCAUGUAUGCUUUGACGAACAACAUGUUCAAGGAGCAAAUUAGUCCAAGCAUGCAUUAUCUCAUAGACCACAACAACACUUAUUUCAUUUAUUUAUUUAUUAGUCAUGAGAUAGAAGAUGGAGGAAAUUCAACCAAUACGAGGAACCCUAAUCACCUUCCCUUUCUUGUUGACCCAAACACGAACCCUGUCAAUCCUAUAGUCCUUAGUAACUGGAGUUCCCUCAAGUAAUACGAUUGCAUGAACACAAGGAUUCUCUUUCUCUAUAAUAGCAGCAGCAACCUUCCCGUUUUUACCAACCAGCUCUGGCCAUGAGCUCUUGCCUGUGAAGGAUUUCAUAAGAAAAUUAAACUUUGUUGAGAAAUGAUCAAAAUCUCCAAGUUGUUUCAAUAAUGAAAUUAAAAAAAGGAAAAGCAUGGCGUUUUAUACUUACGUGGACAAUCAAAUGCAGACGUGACUAGGUUUGGUCCAUCUUCCACAACUCCUUUCAAUGCAGAUACGAUGACUUCAGAGCGAAGCUCCUUGCCAUCGGUCAGGCAAGGCUCAUGACGAGCGGCCAAAGAGGGUUUUGCGGCGAAGGCUGUUAGAGUGCAAUUUAUGCACUAGUUUUGCAUUGUUUACUUUCCUUAAUAUCGAUAUUUUGCACUUAAUAAUAGUGAUUUACUUGUGUUUUAUUUUUGUAGGUGCAAUUCUAUUGAUUGAUGCUAAAAUUGAGUUACAAGAUGAUAUUUGAGGAUGAUUGUUUUCUUGGAGAAAUUUUGAGCGUCAGAAAAACUUUAUUGAUAAGGCGUGGGCGCGUGCUGUCAACUACGGACCUGUAGUUUUUAGUUUAACGUGUUUUGUAUUUUUGGUUAUUUUUGUAAUUACGAAUUUAAUAUUUCAGAUAUUAGUAUUUUAUUUUAAAAAAGAUGAUGUUUAAGGAUGAUUGUUUUCUUGGAGAAAUUUUGAGUGUCAGAAAAACUUUAUUGAUAAAGCGUGGACGCGUGCUGUCAACUGCGGACCAGCAGUUUUUAGUUUAACAUGUUUUGUAUUUUUGGUUAUUUUUGUAAUUACGAAUUUAAUAUUUCAUAUAUUAGUAUUUUAUUUUUAAAAGAACUCUAGAGGAAAAGAGAGAGAGAGUAUUUAAGGGAGGAAUCUAUUGUGAAAAAGAGGGGAUUUUUCAAGAAAAGAAAGAAACCCUAGAUCUAAAUUUUUCUCUUCUCUCUAUGAAGAACUAAAUCUAUUAUUCUGGUUGAAGGUUAAUGAAGCUUUGAUUCAUCACUACUGUGAGAUCUUUCUUAUACUUUAAUUGUUUUAUUACUUUUUGGGUAUUUGUUUAUUCUCUGAAUUAUUUUGAUGAUUAUGUUUGUUAAUUAGAUAACUGGCCACUAUUUAAUUAUCAACUUAAUCUCUUGUCAAUUAAAGGAUUCAUGGUAUGAAGAUUUUAAUGUUUGUGACAAAUAGCAUAGCAGUGAGUUAUGUUAUGAGAAUAAAUAAUCUAAUUUAAAUGAACCAUCGUAUGCGUUUGUUGAUUAGGAUUUGGGUGUCUCUGGUUUUUUAGGCUAUCAAUUAAUUAAAUCUUAUGAUCGUAUCUAGGGUUGUCUAUUGAUUAGGGAAAUAACAAACGGUCGUACCUUGGUUAUCAACUAGUUAAGAAGAGAUUGACUAUUAGAGGGUCUCAGUAGGUAUAAUCGGUCUAUUCAUAAGUAGUAAUAAUUUAUAUUUGAAUCAAUGAUCAGUAGUCGAAUCAAGCUGAGUUAAUUCCUUCAACCAGAGCUUUCUCCAAUUUGAAUUACAACUUUAAUUUGCAUUCUUAUUAUUUUAAUUUGAUUUUUAUUAUUGUCAACAAUUCCCCCAUUUUACGUUUUACAUUUUAAAAGGAUUUAAAUAAUUACCGAUCUCUGUGGACAUGACCAUGCUCAAUCACUAUACACAAUUUAUUUAGAGCAGUUAUUUAUUUUUGCUGGCUUCGACAACCAUCAAAGGCCAAGAGAAAGAAGAAAAGGGCGAGUGCUGGUAAUGAACUCUUCAUUGCUAAUAAUUAAUUGUUAUUUCGAAGGCUCUUUGCAAAGUGAAACUGAAAGCAGAAGAGCUUGCUAUUUAUAGGGCCUAAACUUGCGUGCCAAAUUUUAUGAUUGAUUAUGUGUGUGGUCAUGAAAUUUUACCAAAUAAUUUAAUUUUCAUUGGGGUAAAUACCAUUUAGUCAUUAUAAUUUGACUUACGUGCAUGUUUUGGCAACAUAUAAUCAAAUAAGAAAAAUAACGUUAUGGCAACAUAUAAUCAAUAUUUUUAUAGCUAAAAUAAUUUUAAAAAAGCAAAAUAUAGAGAUUGGAAAAUACCAAGUUACCAAAUACUUUUGUAGGCUUCAUUGGUCAAUAAACUAGUAAAAAAGUCAUUACAUUGUUAAAAUACGCAGUCAUAAGCCAAGUCCAUCAACAAAAAAAAAAAAAAAAAAAACAUUUUCACAUUCCAACCACUAAGCCGACAAAUAAAUCAAGUUCACAAUCCAACUACUACUCAUAAUAGUUUAUUAUCUGUAAUUCAAGUCCUAUACAACUACCAAAAUAAAUCAACUACCCUUACCAGAAGCAACAAGAGCUUGCAAUCAUCAGCCAAAUUCAACUGGCAGGACCAGACUAACAGGUCUCGAAAAUAAUAAGCAAAGGAGCAAAUUAUUUGAAAUUUCUUGUUUCUUUUUUUUAUAUUUAGUUUUACUCAUUAUUAUUAUUAUUAUUGUUAUAUUAUUUUUUAAGCCCAAUCUGAUACAUUUCUGCCAAACAAAUAGAAACGUACAGCUCCGAUUUUGCUAAUAAAAAUUAUUGCCAAAUUUAGCUAACUGAUCUACGAAUUAUUAAAUCAACAUUAACCAAUAUCAGAGAUCACCCAAGAAAAGAAACUGCUCUUUUUCCCUGGCUAAACUAACCAUAUUCAAGGCUCAGACUCAGAUCAAUACUUGGAACAACCCCUGCAUCUUUGGCCACUUACAAAUUUACACUAAUCUCAUAGCUUCUGCCUCUGCAACUGCAAGCCCAAUACCUUCUAAUUUGGAACAGCUAGAGCCAUACAUUUCGAAGUAAACUGCAGUAUUGGCUGCUGUAUCACUAGCUGCAUCUACAUUCAAUUACAAUCUGGGUCUUUGCUUUACUCUUCUGAAAGAGCAAAUGAUUGCUACAGCUCUUGCCACCAAGAUGGCAACUACAUCCCUCUACAUUGGAUGGAAUGUACAGAAUAUUCAAUUACAGGUUAAAAUACUUGGUCUUUGAUGUUCAAUAAUGGCAAAUAUGCAUGUAUCAAGCAUUAUCCCUACAAAUAUUAGUAUUUCAGUUCAUUGAUGCAUGAUUCUUUGACAGCAUGUUGGCAUAUUAAUAAAGACGUGGAUAAUUUUGUUGACCUCACUUGAUAUUUCACUCAAACAGAAGCAAAUCACACUUGUUUAAUUUUUUGCAGGAACUUUUACCACAGGAUGAGGAUAUUUCUGGCAAAUUUUAUUUUAAGAACAAUAAGAUUGGGACCAAUAUUAGGUCUAUUGAUUAUGGUUUGGAAUUUUUUUUUUUAAUUUUGGUGGAUAAAAUAUGUCAAGUUUUUGGGAAAGACUGAAUGAAAGAUGUUUUGCUAUUCCAGUCAAAUUUUAUGAUUCCUUUAACCAAUGGUAAUUAUAUGUUGCCUAUUUUAGUGCUUAUGCAGGCAGGCAGGCUCUGGAGAGAAAUUAUCAUAUCCAUAUCAAGUAAAACCAUUGCGAUACUGCGUGAAGGACAAAUGGCCCAUGAGGAAGGAGAGCUUGGAAAAUCAUCUUUUCAAAAGAACUUAAGGAAAUUUAGAUCCUGUUUAGAAUUGAGGUGUUUUAACUUUUAAGUUACAGUUAGUUGUGAAAAAAUGUUGUAACUAUGAAAUAAAAAUAAUAAUACUAUAUAAGUAAUAUAAAUUUUCAAUAAUAAUUUUAACAAAAUUAGUGAAGAUAUAAUCGAUUUUCUAUCAUAUAAGUGAAAAAUCAUAUCAACAUAACUUUCAAGUUACAACAGUUAGUGUUUACCAAACACUUUGGUAAUGUAGCUUUUAAGUUAUAGUGCCCAGCCUCAAUUCCAAACAGACCCUUAGAAGCGAAAGAAAACAAAGAUUGCAUGUCCAUGGGUAUUUUUGCAGUAAUCGAUGAAAUGCCUGAUUGCAAAAUCCUUUGAAGUUGAAAUUGCAAAGGACUUGAAAGACAUGAAAUUGCCGUUAGAGUUGCUAAAACCCCGGUUGCUAUACAAAGUUCCAAGAAGCAAAAUAUUUAUAGAAAUAUCAAGCCUUUAAUUAAGCUAAGGAGCUAUAUUGGAGUGUUCCUAUUAUGGUAUUGUUGUAUCAAUUGACUAUCAGUAAAAAGUAUACAUUUAAUAAAGGUGAAAUUUAUCAUUUUUCAUUUCUAGUAUUGAUAACACUAACAAUUUCAUCACAUUAUAAAUUUUAACUUAUUUUAUGAAUUAUCUAUUUUUAUUUAUUUUUAAGUAAGAUUUUUAUUUUCUGUAGGUAAAUCCCUAAAUUCAUUAUGCUUGGAUUGGAAAAACGAAAGUGAAAUUUGGAUUUUAGAGACUUAGAAGUUUUUGGAAGAAUUGAUAUCCCUCCGAUCCACCAUUAGUUUUAUAUAGCUGAGAUCAUGCCAUGUGCCCGAGUUCAUGUGCACCUUGUUGAAAUAUUUAACGCUCAUCAAUUGGUAGAUCAACCACCUUGACAAAUGAGUCAAUAAAGGGUCCUACUUUAACUUCAUUUAUAAUAAUUGAUUAUGUUCAAUCCAUCGAUCCAUAAUGUUGCAAUUUUGGACUCUUGAAUUGUAUUAAUAAAGUUCAUCUAAAGGUUAUGGUUGCAAGCUCAAUAAACAUAUCAUGUAAAUGCCCACAUUUGUUCAACUCAAAAAAAAAAAAUUUACUUGUACAAAGGCAAGACACAAAUUUGUUGAGAAAUUUGAGAGGUAAGUUUUGUAGAGAACUUAGGUGUAAAUUUAAAGUGAAUUUUUGGAAAAAAUAUCUAUUCUCUUCUCUUUUUUUUCCCCUCAAUUUUCUUGUGUCGUAUAUCAUAAAUUUGUUAAAUAAAAUGAGCGUUUUACUCGUCUAUAUGAGUUGCUAAUUUUCUAAGUCAAGGUGAAGGGUGAAACUUUUUCAAGUGAGUUUUAACUUUAUUGUUUUAAUAAUAUGUUUAUAGUUUGUACUUUUUACCUGUUAUUUUCUUAUCAUAUUUAUCUAUAGAUUUAGAUCCCCUUUGGAUCUAUAUGGGGCUUAGACAUAAUGUCGACACACCAAUGUAAUAGUGAGAACACUCAAAUGUAGAUAUGGCACAUUAUAUACUUAACCCCCUUAUUUAUCCAUAGAGUGGUUAGUUAAAAACUAAGUCACAUAAUAUUCAAACUAUUAAAAGAAAUACAAAAAUAAAUAUGACAAAGUAUUAUAACCUUGAAAUCUUGUAACCUUAGCACUUUUUUUUUAAUUUAGACUAUUCUUUAUUCAUUUCUUUUUCUGCAUUAUUUUUAUUUAAUAGUUGACUACUAAAUUUUUAGAUUCUUUGUUAUUUGACUCCAGACUCAUUAGGUAAUAUUAUAACUAGGCACUUUUAUACUUAAGAGCAAUAAUCUACUUUUGCGUCGUGUCAUGAACAUUAUAUCUAAACGCCCACAUAGAUCUAAGGAGAUCUAAAUCUACAAAUAAUUAUGAAAUGAAAACAACAUAGAAAAUAUAACUUAUAAACAUGUAACUGAAAAAAAAAAAUUUAAAACUCACUUGAGAAAGUACAUAAAUCUACAAUUUGAAUAUGUAAGGUCCACCUCUCACCUUAGCUUAGAAACUAUUGAAACACACUUGAGAAAGUAAUUAAAUAUUGAUAAGCAAACACUCAUUUUAUUUAAUAAAUUUGUGAAAGUACAAUACAAAGAAACUGAAAACAAAAGAAAAGAGAAGAGAAAAAUCUCUUCUUAUUUAAUACACUUUUUCCUAAAAUUCACUCUAAAAUUACACUAAUUUUUACUAUAAAAAUCAAAUCUCAAAUUCUACAAAAAUUCUACAAGGUCAUUUAUGAAAUCUCUUGCCUUUAUACAAACAAAUUAUAAGUUGAUCAAGUGUGGGCAUUUACACGAUAUUUUUAGUGAGCUUCCAACCUCCUUCCAACCACAACCUUUAGAUGAGCUUUACGAACACAAUCCAAGAGUCUAAAAUUGCAACCAUUGUGAUCAUUACGAACCAUUGGAUUUAACAUUAUCAAUGGUUACAAAUGAAGUCAAAAUGAAACCUUCCAUUGGCUCUUUUAUCAAGUUGGUUGAACUACUAAAUUGACAAGUGUCAAAUCUAGUGUAAGGAGAUUCAUGUGACCUCAAGCAAAUGGCAUAAUCUUGGCCUUUCAGAAUUAACGUUUGAUCAAAAGGCUAAGAAUUCUUCUAAAGGCUUCUAAGUCUCUAAAAUUCAAAUUUCAUGUCCUUUUUUCGAUCCAAUAAUCAUGAAUUUAGGGAUUUACAAUUCAUAAAAUAGGUUAGAGAUUUGUAAAUGUGACGAAAUUGUUAGUGUUAUUGAUAUUGUAAGUAAAAAAUGAUAAUUUUAACCUUUAUUAAAUGCAUACUUUCUAAUUUUAAUCACACACUCCAAAUAGCAUAUUAUUAAUCCCUAGCGAUUAAAGUGCUAAUUGUAAUAAAUAAAAGGGUAGAUACUUGUUUAAUUCUUAUUUUUAAUCUAAUAAAAUUAUUAAAAAGUCAACUCAGCAGCAAUCUAAAUUUAUAUUUUAUAAGAGUUUUAUUCUCAUAUAAGAAUCUUGAUUGUCUCUAAAAUCCACAAAUGAUAAUUAUCUAUCAAAUGUCAUAGUUCACGGUCCAAAAAAUAACACUAACACAUAAAAUUCUUAGUUUACAAAUAAAUCUACUAUAAAAUAUUAAAUUAUAUUAAAAAAAGAUGUACUAAUACAGGUUUGCGGUUUGGGUUAAAUUUUCAACCUAUCCCAGCCCGUAAAUAGUGUGGGUUUAAAAAAAAACCAAUCCCUUUGAGUUGGUAAAAUUUUAUUAUCCAAUCAACCGACAAGAAAUUGUGCGGCUUAUGCGGAUUGUCCGGAUCUAAGGUAAAAUAAUUUCAUUUAGAUGGCUAAUCGGGAGUCAAGAGGUGCUAUUUUAUUUAAUUAUAUCAAAUUGUUUUAACCGUAAAUGGCAACUUGUUUUCUUAAAAGAAGAAGCUAAAAUAUGAGUGUUGAAACUGUGGAUUAAGUUGCAAAUAAAUCCUAACUAUUUUUAUUUUAAUUCUUCCACACUAACUUUAUCACGUUUAAAAAGAGAAAUACGUGCCGACUAAUAUUGUGGUGUUCUUAUCCCUUUUCAUAGGUGUCACUAUCAAAAGUUUGUCAAUGUCAAUUAAUAAAUUUGACGAAAAAAGGCCCAACAAUUAUUGAUGAGGUACGUGUUGUAUUUGAUUAUCUCAAAAUAAAAAUUAUUAGAUCAUUAUUGACCGUAAGUAUCUUACUAUUUCUUAAUAUUUUUAAAAUAUAACCAACCUAUGUUUUUAAAAUUUACAAAAGAGACAUGCUAACGCCACUCAAAAAUAGUUAUUACUUACAAGUAUAAGAAUAAUAAGUUAUAAUAUAACCCAGUGAAUCCGGAGUCGAGCCACAAGAAAUUUAAAAAUCUGGUAAUCAAUUAUUAAAUAAAAAUAAUUGUAGAAAAAGAAGUUAAAAAGGAGUAGCCUAAUUAAAAAGGUGCUAAGGUUACAAGAUUCAUUCUUGGUAUUCAAAUCAUAGUCACGGUACUUUCUCAUAUUUAUAUUUUGGAUUUUUUAAUAGUUUGAAUAUUAUGUGACUUAGUUCUUAAUUAACCACUCUAUGAACAAAUAUAAGGAUUAAGUACAAAAUGUACCGUAACUGUAUCGAAACAUUUCUACUACUGUAUUGGUGCAUUAAUAUUAAGUCUAAACACCCACAUAAAUCUAAGGGGACCUAAAUAUACAAAUAUGAAUUACUCUAUGAACCAAAAUGGAAUUAAGUACAUAAUGUGAUACGACCACAUUGAAAUAUUCUGGCUACCACAUUGGUGUGUCAACAUUAUGUUAAAUCCAGUGCAAUGAGGUACAUGCGAGCUCAGACACAUGGCACAGUCUCAGCUAUUUUGAAUUAAUGUUGGAUGGAAGGGCUAACUAUUCUUCCAAAGGCUUCUAAGUCUCCGGAGUCUAAAUUUCAUGUUCGCUUUUCUAAUCUAAGCAUCAUGGAAUUUAGGGAUUUACAUAUAAAGCAAAAAAAAAAAAAAAUCAUAUUUAAGAACUAAUAAAAAUAGAUAAUUCAUAAAAUAUGUUUGUGAUUUGUAAAUGUGAUGAAAUUGUUAGUGGUAUCAACACCGUAGAUGAAAAAUGAUAUUUUAACUUUUAUUAAAUAUACAAUUUUUAAAGUUAAUUAAUCAGUCUACUCAAUAUAAUGUCAAGCAUCACUGUAAAUAAUAGGCUUAAACGAUCUCAUUAAAAAAUACCCAACAUUUGCAAAAUGGUACAUAUUAUUUUGAUAUGUUUAAUCAUACUAUAAUAUAUUCUUUUGAUAUUGUUAGAAAUAUUGGGUGAUAUUUGGGUGAAAUCAUUUAAGCAUAUUAUUUACAAUGAUGCAUGAUGUAAUAUGAUUGGGGAGGUUGAUUAAUAAAGUUGGUUGAAUAUUAGAUUAUUUUGGGAGUGUUUAUUUUACAGAUUUGUAGAUUGAAAAUGUGGAAUAAGGAGUCUUUGCUGGUUUUCCAUAAAAUAUUUAUUAAUGAAUUUAUUUAGUCACGAUUCCAAAUAAGCCUACCAUUAGAAUUCGGGACGGGAUAUUUCAUAAUGUUGGUAGGCAAGAAUACAUCUACAAGUUUCCUAUUUUCGCAAUAAAUAUGUCAAUGAUUUCAAUAUUUGAUUCGUGAAAUCGUAGAUGGAUGUCUUUAGGAGUAUGGGCCAUCUUACGUGUUAAAAAACCAAAAAUGGAAACCGAAAAGCUUAUAUACAUCUAUAGUCGAUCUCAUCCAAAUCAAUUCUCGUUUAAGAAUCAAUCAAUCAAUCAGUCAAUCAAUCAAAAAGUGGUAAUGAGAAACUCGUGAUGAAAUGCCUUAAAAUCUACGCCACAGAAUCGGAUCGAUGGUGCCUUAUCAUUCAAUCGUAGUAUGUGGACAAAAUACAAUCAACUGAGAUUUAGCAGCAUCGCCUCUUCACGAGAAGCCACGGACCUAUCAUUAUCAUAUGAAGUGUCCUUUUUGACAUUUUUGUUCAUUGAACUCGUUGAAGCACAUUGACAAGUAUGUCCAAGGUCUAGCUCUACUAAUUGGUAGAUAAUCUUCCUAAGAUUUAAGUCUUUAGUUCAUGUAAUGUGUUAGAUUAUAAUUCUAGUAUAUUGCAUUUUGUAAUUCUGUUACUGGUUCGAAAGGCAAUCACAACCUUUUUUUUUUAUUCCCUCUAGUGAUAUGCAAAAUGGAUCUUGCUUUGACUUUUUUUUUCCCUCAUAUCAUAUACCAUAUAAUAAUAAUAGUAAAUUCUUAAUUUUUUUUUGGAAUUCGCAGGCGUAAAGUGAAAAAUGAAAAAAAAAAAAAAUCAAACCUUAUCAUCGCACAUUUUAACUUAAAUUUGGGUUUCCGCCCUUAUUAACAGAAAUUUAAAGAAAUUAUUCAUGAUAAACCAUAAAGAGGGAUUAGCGCACGUAAUUAAGGAUAAUAUUAUAGUUUUUUGUUAAGGAACACGAUUCAUGUAUGCUUUGACGAACAACAUAUUCAAGGAGCAAAUUAGUCCAAGCAUGCAUUAUCUCAUAGCCUACAACAACACUUAUUUCAUUUAUUUAUUUAUUAGUUAUGAGAUAGUCGAUGGAGGAAAUUCAACCAAUACGAGGAACCCUAAUCACCUUCCCUUUCUUG